rnacentral:rRNA from 1 species
CGUGUGCUUACAAGUAGUCAGAGCCCGUUAAUGGGUGAUGGCGUGCCUUUUGUAGAAUGAACCGGCGAGUUACGAUUUGAUGCAAGGUUAAGCAGUAAAUGUGGAGCCGUAGCGAAAGCGAGUCUGAAUAGGGCGUUUAGUAUUUGGUCGUAGACCCGAAACCAGGUGAUCUACCCUUGGUCAGGUUGAAGUUCAGGUAACACUGAAUGGAGGACCGAACCGACUUACGUUGAAAAGUGAGCGGAUGAACUGAGGGUAGCGGAGAAAUUCCAAUCGAACCUGGAGAUAGCUGGUUCUCUCCGAAAUAGCUUUAGGGCUAGCCUCAAGUGAUGAUUAUUGGAGGUAGAGCACUGUUUGGACGAGGGGCCCCUCUCGGGUUACCGAAUUCAGACAAACUCCGAAUGCCAAUUAAUUUAACUUGGGAGUCAGAACAUGGGUGAUAAGGUCCGUGUUCGAAAGGGAAACAGCCCAGACCACCAGCUAAGGUCCCAAAAUAUAUGUUAAGUGGAAAAGGAUGUGGCGUUGCCCAGACAACUAGGAUGUUGGCUUAGAAGCAGCCAUCAUUUAAAGAGUGCGUAAUAGCUCACUAGUCGAGUGACACUGCGCCGAAAAUGUACCGGGGCUAAACAUAUUACCGAAGCUGUGGAUUGUCCUUUGGACAAUGGUAGGAGAGCGUUCUAAGGGCGUUGAAGCAUGAUCGUAAGGACAUGUGGAGCGCUUAGAAGUGAGAAUGCCGGUGUGAGUAGCGAAAGACGGGUGAGAAUCCCGUCCACCGAUUGAC